GGCCCACCUACACAGCCUGGCGUCAUGUGGAGCUCGUCUAAGGCCCUUCUUUGUCUCCACAGCCUGCAUUCCUGGAAGCAGACGGGAUGUUGGAUGGAGAAGGUGUCGUCUUGCUCUUCAUCAUUGGUGGAGAGGUGCUUCGCAGGCCUCUCAGUGGCUGUAUCACAUCAGGAGACAUGGAAAGAAUCUCAUGGCUCCAAGUCCUCACCCUGGUCCUCUGCAGAGAAAGUCCUCAACGGACAGUAUUGAACGGUACCCUUUUUAACUGGAAAAUACUAUCUACUGUACUACUGAUAUCAAUAUGGAUUCGAUUUUAAACUCUCGAUUGACGUAUAUGCUGUUUGGCUUAUGUACGAUGACCAGGAGAAAGAAAGAGAUGCCAAAGAUCCCCACCACCCCCACCAGUCCCAUGUCCCCCUCCUUCAGCUCAGCAGGGGUUCCCCUGUCCCCUUGCCUGGCCACUGGAGUAACCAUCAGGGACAAGUGCAUCGAGAUGCUGGUUGCUGCUCUACGCACGAUGAUAACUUCAAAGAAUUUGAGACAAACUGUGACUCGUUGGCAGCAGAGAUUGAAGAUCAUAUCCUUUUAAAUCUGCAUGUGGUUCUAAAGUAUUUUACCAAUUUGGGUUGGUUUCAGUUUGCAGUAUGUUUGCAGAGCUGCCAUUUGCUCUCUUGGCUUUGA
rnacentral:lncRNA from 1 species